CGAGCAAGGUACAAGAUGGCGCCCUCCGAGACCGUUCGCCUGCGACUCCACUUCGACUACCCGCCGCCUUCUUCUCCGCGCUGUUCAGUCUUCUGGCUCCUAGCCGACCUGACCAAAUGUCGAGUGGUCACUGACCUGGCCAGCCUCAUCCGCCACCGCUUUGGCUUUAGCUCUGGAUCGGCAUUGGGACUCUACCUGGAUGGGGGAUUACUCCCCCCCACGGAGAGCGCGCGCCUGGUGCGUGACAACGACUGCCUCAGAGUUAAAUUAGAAGAUGUUGAAAUUUCUCAGAACUCUUUAGCAGACAGUAAUGGACUCACUUACUCACACAAAAAAGCACAGAAGAGAACUGCAUGGGAGGAAGAAGGUUCUGAUGCAGAAGAGAAGCAUUGGACGGGGGGUGAGAUCAGUGAAACCUCUAUAGAAACAUAUCAAGUCACAAGGAAGAAAAACAAGAAGAGAAAAAGGAAUGAAGGAGGAAGUGAAAAUCAUGGAAAAUGGACCCCCAAAAAAUUAGGGAAAGAGAAGGAAGGGAAAGUUGAAGAUAAGAAGCAGAAAAAAUCUAUAAAGCUAUCUAAAAUAAAGACAUUGCUGCCAGAAAGGACCAAAAACCAUAAUACUCCCAAGAGUGCUUCCAAUAAAAUAAUUUCUGCAAAAAUCAAGAGGAAAAAGCUUAUUGGCCUGUCUACUAAAGAUAACUCUGAUACCUCAUCAGAUUCUGAUUCUUAUGCCACAUCAUUAGAUAGCCGCAGCAAAAUAAGUCUUGGUGGUAAGGAAUUAGAGACGCCAUCAUUUAUCACAUCAAAGCCAUCUAGUAGUUCCCUCCCAAGUGCAAAUAGACUUUUUGCCAGCAUUAUCAAUAAGAAUAGAGGAAAUCAAGAAUCAUCCUCUAGUUUGGAUUCCAGUUCAGAUGACCAGAGCAAGAUGCCAAGUAGAAUUCCAUCAUUUGCUCCUCCAUCAACUGUAACAGUAUCUUCAGGAUCUUCACAAGCAAAUGGUCUGGAUACAGGCAGUCACUUAGGAUCAAGACGGGAGAUGCAAUUUUCUGAUAUGUGGGAUAAGCCAGUAUUGGGGAAUAGUGGAAAACAGUUGCCACCUCUGGCUCCAGAAAAAACAACUCACCCCAGCAGUUUUGGAAGGGGACGGGGAAGAGGAGAGGACUUUUUCCCCUGGAGGGGACCUAGGGGCCGGGGUUUUCGUGGAGUCAGAGGACGAGGGAGAGGGGGAAACAAUUACAUGUUUAAUGGUGAAUCUCAGAAACAGCAGCAAUUAACCGAAGUAGCAAAAAACACUCCAUUUGUUACCCAGGUAUGUGGCCUUCUUUUUUCUGUUUUAUUUUUACUCCCUACAUAUUUAGCCAACUUGAGAUAUGGUGAGCCUCGAGUUUAUCUAUUCAGUAUGUAUUACUACUAAUGAAAUCAGCCAGUCAUUGAGCAUUUAUUGUCUACUGUAUGCCAAGCAUUAUGCUAGGGAUACAAAGACAAAAUUAAACAAAUUACCCUCAAGGAUUUAACAUUCUUUUGAGGGUGUUAGUGAGUCUGUAUGUAUGUAUUUAAAUAUAACUAAAAGUUAAUUUGGGGGCUAAGGGCAUAAGUAGCUAGAUGAAUCAGGAGGAGUUUUAUGUAGAACAUAACACUUGAGCUGAGUUUUAAAGGAGUCGGGAUUUUAAAAGCUGAGGUGAAGAGGGAGUGCUUUCCAAAUAUGGAGGACAUCCAGGGCAAAGGCACAGAGAUGGAAGAUGGAGUGCCCUUGGUGAAGAACAGCAAAGUGACUGCUCUAAUUGGACAAAACAGUGUGGGGAAAAAAAAAAGAAGAAUGUAAAACAAGGUUGAAAAGAAUCCAGUACCGCCUCUUCAGAAGGACUACAGUCUACUUCCUCAAUUAGCAGGACCCCCUAGGGUGGGGGAAAAGAUUGCA